rnacentral:misc_RNA from 1 species
GAUGAAGAACGCAGCGAAAUGCGAUAAGUAAUGUGAAUUGCAGAAUUCAGUGAAUCAUCGAAUCUUUGAACGCAUCUUGCGCUCCUUGGUAUUCUGAGGAGCAUGCCUGUUUGAGUGUCAUUAAAUUCUCAACUACACUGACUUUGAAUUGGUGUGGCUUGGAUUUGGGGGGAAAAUUGUUGUGGGCUUUUUGUAUAGUCUGCUCCCCUGAAAUUGAUUAGCGGUACCUUUGUGGAACUGUCUACAGGUGUGAUAAUUAUCUACAUCUUAGACAUCUGCUGGAAUGCUGCUUUCUAAACCUUACUUGUAUUGACAAUCUUGACCUCAAAUCAGGUAGGACUACCCGCUGAACUUAAGCAUAACAAUAAGCGGAGGA